rnacentral:lncRNA from 1 species
GUUUCUCCAAGAAUAAGUUAACGCCAAAGUCAGGAGGGAGUUUGGUGCGACGCGGAUAACGGUGGUUCUUGGGUUGCUUGCUAUAGCAAAUUAUUGUGUUGGGAUGCGCCAGGUUAGUAACACAAAUGCUCUGUUGUAGUUUUCCUCUCAAAGUUAUGAAAGGAUAUGUGGUGAUGGAUGAGAAUAUGCAAUCCAUUUUCUUAGUAUUAUCGUUCGUUUGGAGGAUGAACCUUGUGCAUAAAAAAGGAGAUGCUCCAAUACCUAACGGGAAUUUCUCACUGACGACAGGCAUUUUAAAGGAUGCAGCUGUGGGCUUGAGAGCUGAAAUGAAGGAAACUAUGUAAGGCAAACAGGUACUGGACUCGCAGGAGGAGAUUUUGAUUUUUGAAAAAGGAAUUGAAGUUGAACAGAUUAUGAAAACUUACAUUCAAUU